CCUACGGGGCGCUGCAGUGGGGAAUAUUGGACAAUGGGCGAAAGCCUGAUCCAGCCAUGCCGCGUGUGUGAAGAAGGCCUUCGGGUUGUAAAGCACUUUCAGUGGGGAAGAAAGCCUUGGGGCUAAUACCCUCGAGGAAGGACAUCACCCACAGAAGAAGCACCGGCUAACUCCGUGCCAGCAGCCGCGGUAAUACGGAGGGUGCGAGCGUUAAUCGGAAUUACUGGGCGUAAAGCGCGCGUAGGCGGUCUGAUAAGCCGGUUGUGAAAGCCCCGGGCCCAACCUGGGAACGGCAUCCGGAACUGUCAGGCUAGAGUGCAGGAGAGGAAGGUAGAAUUCCCGGUGUAGCGGUGAAAUGCGUAGAGAUCGGGAGGAAUACCAGUGGCGAAGGCGGCCUUCUGGACUGACACUGACGCUGAGGUGCGAAAGCGUGGGUAGCAAACAGGAUUAGAUACCCCAGUAGUC
rnacentral:rRNA from 1 species